rnacentral:rRNA from 1 species
CCUACGGUAGGCAGCAGUGAGGAAUAUUGGUCAAUGGCCGAGAGGCUGAACCAGCCAAGUCGCGUGAGGGAAGACGGCCCUACGGGUUGUAAACCUCUUUUGUCGGGGAGCAAAGCGAUUCACGUGUGACUCAUUGAGAGUACCCUAAGAAAAAGCAUCGGCUAACUCCGUGCCAGCAGCCGCGGUAAUACGGAGGAUGCGAGCGUUAUCCGGAUUUCUUGGGUUUAAAGGGUGCGCAGGCGGAGGUGAAAGGCAGCGGUAAACUUGCGGGGCUCAACCCCGUACUGCCGUUGAAACUGGAUGCCGUGAGUGCGCGAGAGGUAUGCGGAAUGCGUGGUGUAGCGGUGAAAUGCAUAGAUAUCACGCAGAACUCCGAUUGCGAAGGCAGCAUACCGGCGCGCAACUGACGCUCAUGCACGAAAGCGUGGGUAUCGAACAGGAUUAGAUACCCGGGUAGUC